GACGAACCGUGCGAACGUUGUUCGGAAUCACUGGGCUUAAAGGGCGCGUAGGCGGCUCGCCCAGUCGGGGGUGAAAUCUUUCGGCUUAACCGGAAAAUGGCCUCCGAUACUGGCGAGCUCGAGGGGGGUAGGGGCGGACGGAACUUCCGGUGGAGCGGUGAAAUGCGUUGAUAUCGGAAGGAACGCCGGUGGCGAAAGCGGUCCGCUGGGCCCCUUCUGACGCUGAGGCGCGAAAGCCAGGGGAGCAAACGGG
rnacentral:rRNA from 1 species